UCCUACUAGGCCUAUGCCUCUAGGGCAUGGCUAGGCUUAAUGCCUUAGUAGGAUAGGCAUAUCAAGCCUUUGGCCAGGCCUAUUUAGUACUAGCACAUCAGUUACUUCACCCACCGCCCGGUGUGGUGCAUCAAAAAAUCUAAAAGUGCAUCGAUCCAGUGGCAGUAGGGCAUUUCCCUUCAGAAAUUGGCCUGAAUAAGUAAGUUAACACUAUUGUUUUAAAUAAGUUGAAAAAAUUCAUCUGGAUGUUAAUAGUUAGUAGGUUGUAAAGGUCAUCGCACAUUCAUCUGCUAGACGGAAGUAAUGAAAUGCAGGUUGAGAAUGAGACCUGACAGGUCUUAAAAAUGUUCUAAUGUCCACCUUUGCCGCUGGGGUGCACCUAGAUGUACAAUUAUUUGUAAUAUUUGUUUUAAUGGUAACACAUGCGAUGACAAGACAGGUAUUCUGUAUUUGUGCCCCAGGGUUUAAAGGAGAAAGCUGUGAAAAUAAUAAAAAGCAAAUUGAGGUGAGGCUUUGCUGGUUUAUGAUGAGGUUGCAUCAUUACGGUAUAUGAACAUCUCGACCAUGACCAUAAUGGUUCCCAAUGAGACUGAAAGAUCCUUCUGUCUUUAAAAACGCCCUGGUGCCAUCCUCCCAAAACAGUGGACACAAAGAAUUGCUGAAGAAAUUGUUUAACUAUACAGUGUAAUGAUCAAAGAGAAGAUGACAAUCAAUUAUUUGAAGUAAGGUCAUUUACAAGAUGGAAGGCAGCUGACUCGUGUGGUACAUAAUGCAAGAAUUCCUUUCAUACAUAAUCGAUAAAAGCUAAAAUGGUGCCUGAGGAUCAUUACCAAGCAAGAAGACUGUACAGGCCUUCCUGAUAAAUACACCAAUUCUUGAGGGGA